rnacentral:rRNA from 1 species
CUCAUCGCAUCCUGGGGCUGAAGUAGGUCCCAAGGGUUGGUCUGUUCGCCCAUUAAAGCGGUACGUGAGCUGGGUUUAGAACGUCGUAAGACAGUAAGUGACCGUUGCUGUCUAUAAAUUUGGCUAUAUGCUGGGAAAUCCGAGAAUCACCUCCUACUUGACAAAAGAUGUUGAUAGAGAUAAAAUAUCUCUAUGGCAAGUAAAAACGGAGGGUGUGCGGAUAAUCAGCAGGCAAGCAGGAAAAAAAUAUCAGAUGAAUAUUUUACUGGCUUCGUUGAUGGAGAAGGCUGUUUCUAUGUAGGUUUCAGCCGAAGAAAAGAUUUACCUUUAGGUUGGCAGGUUAUUACAGAGUUCCAUCUCAGUCAGAACCCACAGGGAAAACUAAUUUUAGAACAAUUUCAAAGAAGAUUAGGAUGUGGUUACAUUAAACCUAAUCACCCUAAAAGCAAAAGAGAUAAAACCUGGGUUUUGAUUGUGAAAGACAGAAAAGACCUAAAGGAAAGGUUGAUACCUUUCUUUCAGAAACAUCCUCUUCAUUCAGGGAAAAGAAAAGAUUUUAUGCUCUUUGUUAAAGUACUUCAGUUGAUUGAAAAAGGAAGUCACCUUAAACCUGAAGGUUUUAGGAAGAUAGCCAAUUUGGUCUUCCAAUUACCACGAAGUCGGAAACGUUAUUUGAAAGAAGAGAUAUUUUUCUCCUGUGGCCUCAGAGACUAUACGCCAAAUACCUCGAAAAGGUAAAGAUAUAGUCCGAUCUCACGGGCGACUGUGAGAGUUUCGCAGAAAUGCGAAGUCACCUCUUCUUGAAUCUAGAAGGGGUUAUAAGUCUCUGAUAGGAGAUGAAGUAACAGAAUGUCGGUCUCUAUCUGCUGUGGGCGUUGGAUAUUUGAAGGGGAGCUAUCCCUAGUACGAGAGGAUUGGGAUGGACGAACCUCUGGUGUUCCAGCUGUUCCGCCAGGAGCAAUCGCUGGGUAGCUAUGUUCGGAAAGGAUAAGCGCUGAAAGCAUCUAAGCGCGAAGCCUCCCCCAAGAUAAGAUAUCCCUCUGCCGCAAGGUGGACUAAAGAUUCCAGGAAGACGACCUGGUUGAUAGGCCAGAUGUGUAAGUCCAGUAAUGGAUUCAGCUAACUGGUACUAAUCAAUCGUGUGGCUUGACCAUAGAU